CAUGAAUCUGCGAACGGCUCAUUAUUAACACCCGUAAUCUACCCAGUUUUCGUAUCCAAAACGGAUAUCUGCGUUAAUUUUGGAGCUAAUACGUGCACCAACGUGCUGCUAGCAAUAGUGGCACGCACUUAUUAGAUCAAGGCCGAUUGGGGCAACCCUUUUGGUGACUCUGAAUAAUUUUGCGGAUCGUAUGGUCUUGUACCGACGACGUACUGGUCGAGCGGGUGCCCUAUCAACUAUUGAUGGAAGUCUAUGUGUCUUCCAUGGUUGUAACGGGUAACGGAGAAUAAGGGUUCGACUCCGGAGAGCUAGCCUUAGAAACGGCUAUCACAUCCAAGGAAGGCAGCAGGCGCGUAAAUUACCCACUCUCAAUUCGAGGAGGUAGUGACUAUCAAUAACGAGACAGAUCUCUUUGAGGUCUGUCAUUGCAAUGAGCACAACUUAAAGACUUUAACGAAGUCUAUGGGAGGGCAAGUCUGGUGCCAGCAGCCGCGGUAAUUCCAGCUCCCAACGUGUAUAUCGUCAUUGCUGCGGUUAAAAAGCUCGUAGUUGGAUCUUAGCUCAUGUCGGUAGUUCUCCAUGUGAGAUACUGCUCGGCUGAGCUGUUUCGCCGGUUUUCCGUAGUUUCGGCUGCGGUGACUGGUGUUGUAACUUUGAUUAAAUCAAUGUGAUUAAAACAGGCGUUUGCUUGAAUGCUUUAUCAUGGAAUAAUAGAAUAUGACUUCGGUCCAUUCUGUUGGUCUUGGGAUCGAAGUAAUGAUUAAAAGGAACAACUCGGGGGCAUCCGUAUCGCUGCGUGAGAGGUGAAAUUCUUGGACCGCAGCGAGACGACCUAUUGCGAAAGCAUUUGCCAAGAAUGUUUUCA
rnacentral:rRNA from 1 species